rnacentral:rRNA from 1 species
AGCGAACGCUGGCGGCAGGCCUAACACAUGCAAGUCGAGCGGCCGUAGCAAUACGGCAGCGGCAGACGGGAGAGUAACACGUGGGAACGCGCCCUUCGGUCUGGAAUAACCCAGGGAAACUUGGGCUAAUACCGGAUACGCCCUUACGGGGAAAGAUUUAUUGCCGAAGGAACGGCCCGCGUCCGAUUAGCUAGUUGGUGAGGUAACGGCUCACCAAGGCGAAGAUCGGUAGCUGGUCUGAGAGGAUGACCAGCCUCACUGGGACUGAGACACGGCCCAGACUCCUACGGGAGGCAGCAGUGGGGAAUAUUGGACAAAGGGCGCAAGCCUAAUCCAGCCAUGCCGCGUGGGUGAUGAAGGCCCUAGGGUUGUAAAGCCCUUUCAGCGGGGAAGAUAAUGACGGUACCUGGUGAAUAAGUCACGGCUAACUACGUGCCAGCCGCCGCAGUAACAC